GAGUUUGAUCGUGGCUCAGAUUGAACGCUGGCGGCAGGCCUAACACAUGCAAGUCGAGCGGAUGAAGGGAGCUUGCUCCUGGAUUCAGCGGCGGACGGGUGAGUAAUGCCUAGGAAUCUGCCUGGUAGUGGGGAUAACGUCCGGAAACGGGCGCUAAUACCGCAUACGUCCUGAGGGAGAAAGUGGGGGAUCUUCGGACCUCACGCUAUCAGAUGAGCCUAGGUCGGAUUAGCUAGUUGGUGGGGUAAAGGCCUACCAAGGCGACGAUCCGUAACUGGUCUGAGAGGAUGAUCAGUCACACUGGAACUGAGACACGGUCCAGACUCCUACGGGAGGCAGCAGUGGGGAAUAUUGGACAAUGGGCGAAAGCCUGAUCCAGCCAUGCCGCGUGUGUGAAGAAGGUCUUCGGAUUGUAAAGCACUUUAAGUUGGGAGGAAGGGCAGUAAGUUAAUACCUUGCUGUUUUGACGUUACCAACAGAAUAAGCACCGGCUAACUUCGUGCCAGCAGCCGCCG
rnacentral:rRNA from 1 species